AUUGAACGCUGGCGGCAUGCUUUACACAUGCAAGUCGGACGGCAGCACAGAGAAGCUUGCUUCUUGGGUGGCGAGUGGCGAACGGGUGAGUAACAUAUCGGAACGUACCGAGCAGUGGGGGAUAACUAAUCGAAAGAUUAGCUAAUACCGCAUAUAUUCUGAGGAAGAAAGCAGGGGACCAUUUGGCCUUGCGCUGUUUGAGCGGCCGAUAUCUGAUUAGCUAGUUGGUGGGGUAAAGGCCUACCAAGGCGACGAUCAGUAGCGGGUCUGAGAGGAUGAUCCGCCACACUGGGACUGAGACACGGCCCAGACUCCUACGGGAGGCAGCAGUGGGGAAUUUUGGACAAUGGGCGCAAGCCUGAUCCAGCCAUGCCGCGUGUCUGAAGAAGGCCUUCGGGUUGUAAAGGACUUUGUCAGGGAAGAAAAGGGCGGGG
rnacentral:rRNA from 1 species